rnacentral:lncRNA from 1 species
AUGACGUCACCGGCGGCGGCAGGCCCCGCCCCGGCCCCGGGCGGCAGGCCGCAUGACGUCACCGAGGCCCCACCCCUCCGGAGCGAGUUCGGUCCUGGCGUUCAUUUCAUUCCUGUCCUCAUUCCGAACAUUCUUAGCAUCGCUCGCGCCGUGCCGCGCCGCCCGAGCCGAGCCGAGCCUCUGCAGCCGCCGCCGCGGCCCCGCCGCCCGCCGCGGGCGCCCAUCAAGCACUUUGCAGACUCGCUUCCACCCUGCGGGCCAGUCCGCGCGGCGGGGCCCGGGCUCGGGGCGGCCGCGUCCGGGGACAGGCCAUGCAGUGAAUCCCCCCCACCCCGUCCACCUUUGCCCGGAGCCGCGGGCAGGAGCCCAGUUCGUCCAGCCGGCCCCGGGGCAGGAGCGGUGCUAGGCAGGGGUGGGGUGGCCCAGCCCGGGGAUCGGGAAUCGGGGAGGGAGCCGGGCUCCGAGCUGAAGGCGGGGGAAGCGGCGCCGAAGUUUGCCUCGGACUCGCCAGGCGCUGCGGCGGCUCCCUUCGCCGAGGACUGUUGCUGCCGCCGCCGCCGCUUCAUUGCACAUUCAAGUGGAAAAUUUUCAGGAGUCAGCAGAAACAUUGUGUCCAAAAAAGACUGAGUCGCAGUUACCACCAAAUCCUGGAGGAGACUCUCCCUGGAAAACUUCCCUUCGGUUUAUUUUCUUGAAAAGGCUCCAGGCUUCGGCUUGGAAAAUCCAACCGCCAAAAUUGAGCCCAGCAGCUGGAGCGGCAGUGAGAGCCCUGCCGAAAACAUGGAAAGGAUGAGUGACUCUGCAGAUAAGCCUAUUGACAAUGAUGCAGAAGGGGUCUGGAGCCCCGACAUUGAGCAGAGCUUUCAGGAAGCCUUGGCUAUCUAUCCACCAUGCGGGAGGAGGAAAAUCAUCUUAUCAGACGAAGGCAAGAUGUAUG